GAUGAACGCUGGCGGCGCGCCUAACACAUGCAAGUCGAACGAUUAAAGCACCUUCGGGUGUGUAUAAAGUGGCGAACGGCUGAGUAACACGUGGGCAACCUGCCCCUCUCAUUGGGAUAGCCACGGGAAACCGUGGAUAAUACCGAAUACUUCGGGACUUCCGCAUGGAAGACUCGAGAAAGCUCCGGCGGAGAGGGAUGGGCCCGCGGCCUGUUAGCUUGUUGGUGGGGUAAUGGCCUACCAAGGCAAUGAUGGGUAGCUGGGUUGAGAGACCGACCAGCCAGAUUGGGACUGAGACACGGCCCAGACUCCUACGGGAGGCAGCAGUGGGGAAUCUUGCACAAUGGGUGAAAGCCUGAUGCAGCGACGCCGCGUGCGGGAUGAAGGCCUUCGGGUUGUAAACCGCUUUCAGCAGGGACGAGGCGAAAGUGACGGUACCUGCAGAAGAAGCCCCGGCUAACUACGUG
rnacentral:rRNA from 1 species